rnacentral:rRNA from 1 species
UACAGAGGGGGCAAGCGUUAUUCGGAAUUAUUGGGCGUAAAGGGCGCGUAGGCGGUUGAUUAAGUCAGAUGUGUGAGCCCCUAGCUUAACCUGGGAACUGCAUCUGAGACUGUGAGGCUAGAGUACUGGAGAGGGUGGUGGAAUUCCUGGUGUAGCGGUGAAAUGCGUAGAGAUUAGGAGGAACACCAGUGGCGAGGGCGGCCACCUGGACAGUAACUGACGCUGAGGCGCGAAAGUGUGGGUAGCAAACAGG